AUUGAACGCUGGCGGCAGGCUUAACACAUGCAAGUCGAACGAUGAUUAUCUAGCUUGCUAGAUAUGAUUAGUGGCGGACGGGUGAGUAACAUUUAGGAAUCUGCCUAGUAGUGGGGGAUAGCUCGGGGAAACUCGAAUUAAUACCGCAUACGACCUACGGGUGAAAGGGGGCGCAAGCUCUUGCUAUUAGAUGAGCCUAAAUCAGAUUAGCUAGUUGGUGGGGUAAAGGCCCACCAAGGCGACGAUCUGUAACUGGUCUGAGAGGAUGAUCAGUCACACCGGAACUGAGACACGGUCCGGACUCCUACGGGAGGCAGCAGUGGGGAAUAUUGGACAAUGGGGGCAACCCUGAUCCAGCCAUGCCGCGUGUGUGAAGAAGGCCUUUUGGUUGUAAAGCACUUUAAGCAGAGAGGAGAGGCUAAUGGUUAAUACCCAUUAGAUUAGACGUUACCUGCAGAAUAAGCACCGGCUAACUCUGUGCCAGCAGCCGCGGUAAUACAGAGGGUGCGAGCGUUAAUCGGAAUUACUGGGCGUAAAGCGAGUGUAGGUGGCUCAUUAAGUCACAUGUGAAAUCCCCGGGCUUAACCUGGGAACUGCAUGUGAUACUGGUGGUGCUAGAAUAUGUGAGAGGGAAGUAGAAUUCCAGGUGUAGCGGUGAAAUGCGUAGAGAUCUGGAGGAAUACCGAUGGCGAAGGCAGCUUCCUGGCAUAAUAUUGACACUGAGAUUCGAAAGCGUGGGUAGCAAACAGGAUUAGAUACCCUGGUAGUCCACGCCGUAAACGAUGUCUACUAGCCGUUGGGGUCCUUGAGACUUUAGUGGCGCAGUUAACGCGAUAAGUAGACCGCCUGGGGAGUACGGCCGCAAGGUUAAAACUCAAAUGAAUUGACGGGGGCCCGCACAAGCGGUGGAGCAUGUGGUUUAAUUCGAUGCAACGCGAAGAACCUUACCUGGUCUUGACAUAGUGAGAAUCCUGCAGAGAUGCGGGAGUGCCUUCGGGAAUUCACAUACAGGUGCUGCAUGGCUGUCGUCAGCUCGUGUCGUGAGAUGUUGGGUUAAGUCCCGCAACGAGCGCAACCCUUUUCCUUAUUUGCCAGCGGGUUAAGCCGGGAACUUUAAGGAUACUGCCAGUGACAAACUGGAGGAAGGCGGGGACGACGUCAAGUCAUCAUGGCCCUUACGACCAGGGCUACACACGUGCUACAAUGGUAGGUACAGAGGGUUGCUACACAGCGAUGUGAUGCUAAUCUCAAAAAGCCUAUCGUAGUCCGGAUUGGAGUCUGCAACUCGACUCCAUGAAGUCGGAAUCGCUAGUAAUCGCAGAUCAGAAUGCUGCGGUGAAUACGUUCCCGGGCCU
rnacentral:rRNA from 1 species